rnacentral:rRNA from 1 species
GAUGAACGCUGGCGGCGUGCUUAACACAUGCAAGUCGAACGGUGAAGGCGGAGCUUGCUCUGCUGGAUCAGUGGCGAACGGGUGAGUAACACGUGAGCAAUCUGCCCCUGACUCUGGGAUAAUCGCUGGAAACGGCGUCUAAUACUGGAUACGAGCUGCGAAGGCAUCUUCAGCAGCUGGAAAGAACUUCGGUCAGGGAUGAGCUCGCGGCCUCUCAGCUUGUUGGUGAGGUAACGGCUCACCCAGGCGUCGACGGGUAGCCGGCCUGAGAGGGUGACCGGCCACACUGGGAAUGAGAAACGGCCCAGACUCCUAAGGGAGGCAGCAGUGGGGAAUAUUGCACAAUGGGCGAAAGCCUGAUGCAGCAACGCCGCGUGAGGGACGAAGGCCUUCGGGUUGUAAACCUCUUUUAGCAGGGAAGAAGCGAAAGUGACGGUACCUGCAGAAAAAGCGCCGGCUAACUACGUG